rnacentral:lncRNA from 1 species
GGAUUUGGUGGAGAUUGAAGCUUGGAGGUGGAUCGCCUUCGUCUUCUUCAUCUUCUCCAUGGUUUGGAGCUCAUUUUGAGGUGAGCUUCUUGAGCCCUUUAAUGGUAGAUCUUUAAUGCUUGGUUUAAAUACCUUAUAAAUGGAUUUAGAGGAGUCCUAGCAUGCUAUCUAGAUGAUUAAUGCUUGAAUCAUGGAUCAAUUUAGUGAUUUCUUGCAUAGUUGUAACCUAGGGCUCCAAAAUGCAAGCUUUCAAAAUAUGAGGGUUUGAUCUCAUUUGACCCUUCGUAAACCUAAUUGCUAGGUAACGAAACGCGUUGGCGAAGGCGGUUCGGCAAUCCGACGAGCCGUUACAAAGUUAUUAAAGAAAUAGACGUUUAGGUUUCGGGUCCGCCGGGAGGGCCGAGGCGACGUCGUAAAAUCAUGGAAAUGGAUUUGAGGCAUCGUGGCACAUAACCGAAGACCUAUAAUUUUCGGGGCUGCGAAGCGGAGCACGGUUGAGGCGCAGUUGCAGUAUCGGGCCGUGCCAGAUACGGGUGCCGCGGGAGGCCGAUUGCAAGUGUCGACAAGCAAUCGGAACGCGAAUUAAGGUGGGUUGGUUUACCGAAGCGACUAGGUCGCCUAUAUGUCUAAGUGAUAGACUUUCAUGUUGAUGCAUGUUAAUAAUAACAUAGAUGAUGCAUGUGAUAGAAUGCUAAGUAUAAGCAUGUAAAAUGAUGUUAGUUAAUGACAUGACAUAAAGGAUAUUUGUAUGCCAACAUAAAGUAGAAAGCAUGCUUAAUGUUGUAGUAUAAAGCAUAACGACAUAGAGUGAAUAAUGAAAGGCUAAGAAUGCUAAGUAGAGAGCAUGUGAAGUAAAGUAUAUAAAUGCUAUGUGAUGAUGCAUGUGAACUAAAUGUAAGAGUGCUAGAGUGAAUGCAUCAAAUAAUGAUAAGCUAAGAAUGCUAAGUAUAAGUGAUAAGUAUAAUAUGGAAAUACUAAAUGCAAGUACAUGGUAGGAAUGCUAAGUAAAGGGCAAGUAUAGGUGGACAUGAAUUAACCUAUAGAUCGAGUGGCAUUAAACCUAGUGUCAAGAACAUAGGUUGAACAAGUGUGACAUGAACCUAAUGUUAGAUAACAUAGGUUGUGAGUUAAAGAUAAUAACCUAGAGUUAAAGUAAACCUAGGUAUUGUGGUAAAAGUGGUUAACCUAGAGUUAAGUGAAUCUAGGUUGGAAAGAAUGAUGAUCCUAGUGUAAUGGACCUAGGCUAAGAAUGUGAAAGCAAUAAACCUAAUGUAGUAAUAUAGGUUGAGUAAAGGCUUAGACCUAGAGAGGUCAGUUCCAUAGGGUUAAGACCAACCCUUGGUAAAUGUGAUAUGGAUUCCGGAAUCCCAAAGCUUGCUGAUACACCCAAAGUGGUGUCGGGUGUGUGCGACGAUUUCGCCGCCCAGGGGCUAAUGAACCAUUGUCGUGGCGUGUGUGCGACGAUUUCGCCGCCGGAUGGUUAGCCAGUUUGUGGAUCCUACCGCCUGUUGACUGAACCACUGUCGUGGCGUUUGUGCGACGAUUUCGCCGCCGGGUGGCUAAGUCAUGGACCUAGGCCGUUGUUGGGUGAGGUGCGAUUCGUUCGCCGCCAGACGGCUAGGACAGGAGUACGGUGAGCUGUUGCCAGCUGAGGUGCAUGUGAGAGUUCCUUCACCUCGAGCUAGACAGUGCGCGGACUAUCCGCGAUUGAUUGACUCAAGACCGAGUCGGGUGGCAUAGAGAACUAAGGUAAGAGAAACCUUAGGAAAGAAUGGCCAGUGGAAAAGUGCGACAAAGUGUAAAGAAUAAAGAAUAAGUAAAGAAUAAAGAUCGGCUAAGGAAUAAGAAUAGCUGAUAAGUAAAGAAAGGUUACAAGUAAAGAAUAGCUAAGAGCUAAAAGUAAACAUUAAAUGACAAGAGUAAAGAAUGAUUAAGAAUAUAAGUAGCGUUAAAGUAACCUACUUGCAUGAUUACAGGUAUUGCAUAUUGCAUUUCGUGAGGCAUGACAUGUAUUUCAAUUGAAUAUAUAUAUCUGUUGUAUAUUGUUGAACUAACAUGUUGCAGUGCCUCGUUAGACCUGUUGGUUGAGCUGGUUCUCUUGGGUGGCUAAACCCACUGAGGACUAUGGACAAUAGUCUCACCCCCGUGUUGCUAUUUUGGGGGUACAGGUACACACGUGUGCAGCGCGGCGGCACAAGGCGAGGGCGUAGUUCUGCAGAUAGCGCCCUACCCCAGAGACCAGAGCUAGCAGUACCCCAUCUAUAUAGCUUAGGGGUAAAGGAAAUGAAAAGAAUACAAUGUAUCAAACUUGUAGUAAGUAAAUGUUGUAAUAACUUAGAUUGCAUUUGGAUGAAAAAGAAUGGAAACUGUGAUGUAAAAACUAUGAAAGUGAAUGAAUGUAAUAACUUAGGAUGUGUUUAUGUUGUAUAAUACCUUCCACUUGCAAUCUUGAUUGAUAUCUGUUCUUGGUUGGAACCUUCGUGAAUUGUAUUGAUUGCGAUGUCUUAAAUGUACAGGGGAGACUCUGUCCGUAGUACAGGGGAAACCCUAUCCAUUCGGCGAUGUCGGCGGCGCCGGGACCUCGGCCAAAUAGGCGGGUGGUCGCGGGCUGUGAC